AUUGAACGCUGGCGGCAUGCCUUACACAUGCAAGUCGAACGGUAACGGGCCUUCGGGUGCCGACGAGUGGCGAACGGGUGAGUAAUACAUCGGAACGUGCCCGAUCGUGGGGGAUAACGAGGCGAAAGCUUUGCUAAUACCGCAUACGAUCUACGGAUGAAAGCAGGGGACCGCAAGGCCUUGCGCGGACGGAGCGGCCGAUGGCAGAUUAGGUAGUUGGUGGGAUAAAAGCUUACCAAGCCGACGAUCUGUAGCUGGGCUGAGAGGAUGAUCAGCCACACUGGGACUGAGACACGGCCCAGACUCCUACGGGAGGCAGCAGUGGGGAAUUUUGGACAAAGGGCGCAAGCCUGAUCCAGCCAUGCCGCGUGCAGGAUGAGGGCCUUCGGGUUGUAAACUGCUUUUGUACGGAACGAAAAGCCUUCUUUUAAUACAGGAGGGUCAUGACGGUACCGUAAGAAUAAGCACCGGCUAACUACGUG
rnacentral:rRNA from 1 species